UACAGAGGGGGCAAGCGUUGUUCGGAAUUACUGGGCGUAAAGGGAGCGUAGGCGGGUGUUUAAGUUAGGUGUUUAAUUCCGGGGCCCAACCCCGGGCGUGCACUUAAAACUGGACAUCUUGAAUAGGGGAGAGGUCAGUGGAAUUGGAGGUGUAGCGGUGGAAUGCGUAGAGAUCUCCAAGAACACCAGUUGCGAAGGCGGCUGACUGGACCCAUAUUGACGCUGAGGCUCGAAAGCAUGGGGAGCAAACAGG
rnacentral:rRNA from 1 species